AUUGCUUCUCGGCCUUUUGGCUAAGAUCAAGUGUAGUAUCUGUUCUUAUCAGUUUAAUAAAAAGCUCUGACAAACUGGACUUCAUUAGAACUAAAAACUUUUGUUUAUCUAAAGAUACUAUUA
rnacentral:snRNA from 2 species